rnacentral:rRNA from 1 species
GACGAACGCUGGCGGCGUGCUUAACACAUGCAAGUCGAACGGAAAGGCCCUGCUUUUGUGGGGUGCUCGAGUGGCGAACGGGUGAGUAACACGUGAGUAACCUGCCCUUGACUUUGGGAUAACUUCAGGAAACUGGGGCUAAUACCGGAUAGGAGCUCCUGCUGCAUGGUGGGGGUUGGAACGUUUCGGCGGUUGGGGAUGGACUCGCGGCUUAUCAGCUUGUUGGUGGGGUAGUGGCUUACCAAGGCUUUGACGGGUAGCCGGCCUGAGAGGGUGACCGGCCACAUUGGGACUGAGAGAAGGCACAGACGCGUACGGGAGGCAGCAGUGGGGAAUAGUGCACAAUGGGCGGAAGCCUGAGGCAGAAACGCCGCGUGCGGGAUGACGGCCUUCGGGUUGUAAAACGCGUUCGCCUGUGACGAAGCGGGAGUGACGGUAAUGGGUAAAGAAGCACCGGCUAACUACGUG